rnacentral:lncRNA from 1 species
AAAGAGAUACAUAGUUAGCUUACAAUCACCACUUCACACAAUUACAUGAAUAAAGCAUUACAACAUCCAAAUACAAUCAAGGUCCGACUACGGAACCAAAAUAAAAGAAGAACCCCAAAAGCGACAAGGUCCCAGAUCGACCCCAACUGGGCUCCACUACUGAUCAACUAGAACAAAACGACACAAAGGACAAGAUCUUCAUCGAGCUCCUCCUUGACCUUGGUUGCGUCACCUGCUCGGACUCAUCGGCACCUGCAAGCUGGUUUUGGAAGUAUCUGUGAGUCACGGGGACUCAGCAAUCUCGCACCCUCGCGAUCAAGACUAUUUAAGCUUAUGGAUAAGGUAAAAUGUAUGAGGUGGAGCUGCAGCAAGCGACUAGCAUAUAUGGUGGCUAACAUACGCAAAAGAGAGCGAGAAGAGAAGGCAAAGCACGGUCGAAUAAAGUAUGAUCAAUAAGUGAUCCUAUAACAACCUACGUCAAGCAAAACUCCAACACCGUGUUCACUUCCCGGACUCCGCCGGAAAUAGACCAUCACGGUAACACACGCGGUUGAUGUAUUUUAAUUUAAGGUCGACUUCAGGUUUUCUACAAACCGGACGUUAACAAAUUCCCAUCUGCCCAUAACCGCGGGCACGGCUUUCGAAAGUUCAAAUCCCUGCAGGGGUGUCCCAACUUAGCCCAUCACAAGCUCUCACGGUCAACGAAGGAUAUUCCUUCUAGUGGGAAGACCCGAUCAGACUCGGAAUCCCGGUUACAAGACAUUUCGACAAUGGUAAAACUAAACCAGCAACACCGCCCGAAUGUGCCGACAAAUCCCGAUAAGAGCUACACAUAUCUCGUUCUCAGGGCACACUCAGAUGAGCUCUCCAUACAACUAAAACCAAACCUCGAGUUUCCCCGAGGGGGCGCUGCACAGGACUCUAGUUUGGACCAACACUCAGAUGAGCACUGGCCCAGGGGGGUUAAAAUAAUGAUGACCCUUGAGUCCGUGAAACCGAAGGGAAAAAGGCUAGGUGGGAAAUGGUAAAACCAAUGUUGGGCAUUGCUGGAAGAGUUUUAUUCAAGGCGAACUGUCAAGGGGUUCCCAUUAUUACCCAACCGCGUAAGGAACGCAAAAUCCGGGAACAUAACACCGAUAUGACGGAAACUAGGGCGGCAAGAGCGGAACAAAACACCAGGCAUAAGGCCGAGCCUUCCACCCUUUACCAAGUAUAUAGAUGCAUUAAUUAAAUAAGGUAUAUUGUGAUAUCCCAACAAGUAAACAUGUUCCAACAAGGAACAACAUCUCCAUGUUCCAACAAGGAACAACCUUCAAUCUUCACCUGCAACUAACAACGCUAUAAGAGGGGCUGAGCAAAGCGGUAACAUAGCCAAACAAAAGUUUGCUAGGACAAGGUGGGUUAGAGGCUUGGUUCAACAAUAUGGGAGGCAUGAUAAGCAAGUGGUAGGUAUCGUAGCAUAGGCAUAGCAAAAGAGCGAGCAACUAGCAAGCAAAGAUAGAAGUGAUUUCGAGGGUAUGGUCAUCUUGCCUGAGAUCCCGCAAGGAAGAAGAACGAGUCCAUGAAGAAGUCAAACGGUCGUAGUCGAAUGGUUCCUCACAACGCGACGUUAUCGGAACCAACCCGAAGAAACAACACCGGAAAGGAGCAAACAACAUAGUAAACAACCACCACAUAGACAUGGCAUGAUGCACAAUCGAGUAUGAUGCAUGUCCGGUUUAAUGAAACAUGGCAUGGCAAAAUGCACAAAACAAUCCUACAAAUUAAGUGGAGCUCAAUAUGCAACGAGUUGCAUACUGACGAAACACCACAUUCAAGUUAUUUAGUUUCGAUCUUGUUUAUGUACCCAACAAUAUUAAAUGUUGUUAAACAUGGCAAGAGAUGAAGCAUAAUGAAACUAUCUAUCUAGGCAAGUUUAAAUGAGGCCGGAACAACAAGACAACAAGUCCGGAAACUCCUCAUGUGCAUAUAUUAGGUUUGGUACUGUUCUUCCCUAAACACAAUUUUAGAGUUGUUUAACAUGCAAAGUAAAGCCACCAUGUUGAACUAGGCAUUUUUCCACCCCAUUUACAUAUAAAGAUCAUUAAAAUCGGAGCUACAGUUAUUUAGUUAUGAAUUAAAGCAUUUUUGCAUGGCAUAGGAGCAAAUUAAAGCAAACAUCACUUUAAGCAUUUUAAACAUGGAUGAAAAAGACAUAUUACGAAACUAGAUGAAAAACUAAGCAUAUUUCAUAUAUAAAUUGUUUUAAUAUGAUGCAUCAUUUGUGAGUUAUUAUAUGCAUGUUGUUUAGGGGGCUUUCUAUAAAAU